rnacentral:tRNA from 1 species
GCCCUCGUAGCACAACGGAUAGUGCAGCGGCCUUCUAAUCCGCAGGUUGCAGGUUCGAGUCCUGCCGGGGGCACCA